AACGAACGCUGGCGGCGUGCUUAACACAUGCAAGUCGAGCGGUAAGGCCCUUUCGGGGGUACACGAGCGGCGAACGGGUGAGUAACACGUGGGUGACCUGCCCUCAGCUCUGGGAUAAGCCUGGGAAACCGGGUCUAAUACCGGAUAUGACUCCAUGACGCAUGUUGUGGGGUGGAAAGCCUUGUGCGGCUGAGGAUGGGCCCGCGGCCUAUCAGCUUGUUGGUGGGGUGANGGCCUACCAAGGCGACGACGGGUAGCCGGCCUGAGAGGGCGACCGGCCACACUGGGACUGAGACACGGCCCAGACUCCUACGGGAGGCAGCAGUGGGGAAUCUUGCGCAAUGGGCGAAAGCCUGACGCAGCGACGCCGCGUGAGGGAUGACGGCCUCGGUUGUAACGUACUU
rnacentral:rRNA from 1 species